rnacentral:rRNA from 1 species
ACGGAAUAGAUACCCAGGUAGUCCACGCCCUAAACGAUGUCUACUAGUUGUUGGGAGAGUAAAAUCUCUUAGUAAACGCAGCUAAACGCGUGAAGUAGACCGCCUGGGGAGUACGGUCGCAAGAUUAAGACUCAAAGGAAUUGACGGGGCCGCACAAGCGGUGGAUUAUGUGGAUUAAAUUCGAUGCAACGCGAAAAACCUUAACCUGGCCUUGACAUGCUACUAACGAAGCAGAGAUGCAUUAGGUGCCCGAAACGGGAAAGUAGACACAGGUGCUGCAUGGCUGUCGUCAGCUCGUGUCGUGAGAUGUUGGGUUAAGUCCCGCAACGAGCGCAACCCUUGCCAAUAAUUGCCAUCAUUUAAGUUGGGUC